CUCAACAUGGCGGCGCCCUAUCGGCCAAACUCGAGGCUUCAAGGCAGUCCACAAACCAACGGGUGACGUGGUGGUAGCGGGAGGACUCCAAGGGACCGUGCUGCUGCUACCCACAGGUUUGACUACGGAUCCAAGUCACAUAAUUUUGAAUUAGGCCCUCCCUGUGUUGAAAUGCACCGUGACUACAUCGCAGUGUUUCCGGGCACAUGUAAACCUCGACGAGGGGAAACAAUAGCCCCAAAAGAGACAAAGAGGAGUUCCAAUUAGAAACUAACACGGUCAGUGAUUCUAGAUCAGCACCAAGACGAUGUGAAAUUGAGUGCAGGCCGCACUCACCGCAUCUCAUCCGCCCAUCCCCUCCUGCCGGCUGCCACUUGCAGUAGUGGUGAUGCUGCUCCCUGGUGUGUAGAGGAGGAGAGAGAGCGUGUCCGCUGCCCAAUGACAGCGCAGGAUGCUGAGAGAGGCUGCUGGGGUGAAUGGAGGCGACAAGAUGCCGUCUAGAACGGCGAAGGAGAGGAAUUUACAUCCAUGAAGAUCUGACUUUGAUGUGCUCCACCUAUUAAGGCAUGAAAUAAGUCACCCAUGUGCAGUUCAGAGAGUCAGAGCAGCUUCAUUUCUGCGUGCUCCUGUUAAGGACCGUCUGGUGGCUACACCGCCGAUUCACAGGACAUGUACGGCAGUGCCAGAGCUGUAGGCCAUAUAGAGAGCAGCCCCGCACGGUCCCCGCGCCUGCCAAGGUCCCCCAGACUGGGCCAUCGGAGGGCCAACAGCGGGGGCGGGGGCGGUGCGGGGGGCAAGACGCUCUCCAUGGAGAACAUCCAGUCCCUCAACGCUGCCUAUGCUACUUCUGGGCCCAUGUACCUGAGCGAUCACGAGGGCGUCGGCUCCACUGCCACCUACCCAAAAGGCACUAUGACUCUGGGUCGCGCCACCAGCCGGGCCAUGUACGGGGGCCGCGUCACAGCCAUGGGCAGCAGUCCCAACAUUGCUUCAGUGGGGCUGCCUCAUCAUGCUGACCUUCUGUCUUACAGUGACCUGGGCUCCCUCUCCAUGCUGCACCACCACCACCACCACCAGGGGGUGCCCUCCGCUCUGCUGAGGCAGGCGGUGCGGAGCAGUGGGGGGGAGCUGCUGGAGAUGCAGGCCCAGCUCAGGGAUAUGCAGAGGGAGAAUGAGCUGCUGCGCAGAGAGCUUGACCUAAAGGACAGUAAGUUAGGAUCUUCCACCAACAGCAUCAAGAGCUUCUGGAGUCCUGAGCUGAAGAAGGAGAGGAUAAUGAGGAAAGAAGAGGCGGCUCGCACAUCAAUCCUUAAAGAGCAGAUGAGAGUCACUCAUGAGGAGAAUCAGCAUCUCCAGAUGACCAUCCAGGCUCUGCAGGACGAGCUGCGCACGCAGCGAGACCUGAACCACCUGCUGCAGCAGGAGAGCGGUAACCGCUCCGCUUCUGAGCACUUCACUACCAUCGAGCUGACGGAGGAGAACUUCCGUCGGCUGCAGGCCGAACACGACAGGCAGGCCAAGGAGCUGUUUUUGUUGAGAAAGACCCUGGAGGAGAUGGAGCUGAGGAUUGAGACCCAGAAACAAACACUGGGUGCCAGAGAUGAGUCCAUUAAGAAACUGCUAGAGAUGCUGCAAAGUAAAGGGCUGCCCCCGGGGCCGGGCAGGGCAUCUGAGGAGGAAGAGCAGGAGAGAGCUAGGCGCAUUGCUGAGGCAGAGGCCCAGCUUGGACACCUGGAGGUCAUUUUGGAUCAAAAAGAGAAGGAGAACAUCCAUCUGCGAGAGGAACUGCACAGAAGGAAUCAGCUGCAUCAGGAUCCAAGCAAAACCAAGGCCCUGCAGACCAUCAUAGAAAUGAAAGACACCAAAAUUGCCUCACUGGAGCGCAACAUUCGGGAUCUAGAGGAUGAGAUCCAAAUGCUGAAGGCGAACGGCUUACUGAACACAGAGGACAGAGAGGAGGAGAUCAAACAGAUGGAGGUCUACAAGAACCACUCUAAGUUUAUGAAGACCAAGAUUGACCAGCUGAAGCAGGAGCUGUCAAAGAAGGAGUCGGAGCUGCUGGCUCUCCAGACAAAACUAGAGACCCUCAACAACCAGAACUCAGACUGCAAACAGCAUAUCGAGGUGCUCAAAGAGUCUCUUACUGCCAAGGAGCAACGUGCUGCCAUCCUGCAAACAGAGGUGGAUGCGCUGCGUCUGCGUCUGGAGGAGAAAGAGUCCUUCCUGAACAAGAAAACCAAGCAGCUGCAGGACCUGACGGAAGAGAAGGGCACUCUUGCCGGAGAAAUCAGGGACAUGAAAGACAUGCUAGAGGUCAAAGAAAGGAAGAUCAAUGUCCUGCAGAAGAAGAUUGAGAACCUGCAGGAGCAGCUGCGGGACAAAGACAAGCAGCUGGGGAACCUGAAGGACAGGGUCAAGUCUCUGCAGACAGACUCCAGUAACACAGACACUGCCCUGGCCACCCUGGAGGAGGCACUGUCAGAGAAGGAGAGGAUUAUUGAGCGUUUAAAGGACCAAAGGGAGAGGGAAGACAGAGAACGCCUGGAAGAAGUAGAGUCCUAUAAGAAAGAAAACAAGGAUCUGAAGGAGAAGGUCAACAGUCUGCAGAUAGAAUUAACGGACAAAGAGUCCAGUCUCAUCGAUUUGAAGGAACACGCCUCAUCCCUGGCAUCCUCUGGCCUCAAGAAGGAUUCAAAGCUCAAGUCACUGGAGAUUGCCAUCGAGCAGAAAAAAGAGGAGUGUAGUAAGUUGGAGACGCAGUUGCAGAAGAAGGCCCACGAGGUGGAGCAGCAUUCCGGCUCCAGAGGGAACCCGGACUACGUGGACCGAGUAAAGCUGCUCGAGAAGGAGGUGAGCUACUACAAGGACGAGGCCAACAAGGCUCAGACGGAGGUGGAGAGACUCCUAGACAUCCUGCGAGAGGUGGAGACGGAAAAGAAUGACAAGGACAAGAAGAUCGCCGAGUUGGAAAGACAAGGAGGCAAAGACCAGACUAAGAAGGGUCCAAACAUCAAACUGGGACCACAAGGGGACAAGAAAGGCUUAGGACAAGACCCUCGCAAGGACAGCUCCAUGGAUAGUGGUCACCACAUAAAGUUGGAGGAGCUGAUGAGCACGCUGGAAAGGACCAGGCAGGAGCUGGAUUCUACCAAGCAGCGUCUCUCUUCCACACAGCAGUCACUGCAGGAGAGAGACAGCCACCUCACCAACAUGAGACAAGAGCGCAGGAAACAGCUGGAGGAGAUCCUCGAGAUGAAGCAACAAGCUCUGCUGGCAGCCAUCAGUGAGAAAGAUGCUAAUAUUGCACUGCUGGAACUGUCUGCCUCCAAUAAAAAGAAGACCCAGGAUGAGGUGCUGUCCCUCAAGAGGGAGCGGGACAAACUGAUGCACCAGCUCAAACAACAUACACAAAGCAGAAUGAAGCUGAUAGCCGACAACUACGAAGAUGAGCAAUAUCAUCCACACGGUCCUCACCACCCCCAGCCUCAGCCCCCACACGCUCAGCCUCAGCCGCAGCCCCAGUACCCCCACGCUCCCCAUGCCCAGCAGACUCCAUAUCCACACGCCCUGCAUCCGCAACACCCACAGCACCCACAGGCUCCCCCACAACACCCACACCCGCAGCAGUCACAACCCCAGUACCCUCAUCCUCCUCACCAGCAGCACCCCCAGCAGCACCCUCAGCACCCCCAGCCGCCUCCCCAGCACCAACAGCACCCACGCCCACCGCAGCCCCAACACCCUCACCAACAGCACCCACAGCAUCCUCCACAACACCCACAUGGACACCCCCCUCCGCAGCACCCUCACCCUCAGCACCCACACGGCCCUCCCCAACAAGGACCUCACCCCCAACAUCCACAUCCCCAGCAUCCUCAGCACCCUCAGCACCCACAACACCCUCAGCACCCUCAGCAUCCACAACACCCUCAGCACCCUCAGCACCCACAACACCCGCACCACGGGCAGCAUCCACGUCACCCGUCACCCCAUCAUCGUGGCGGACCGGCCCGAGGACCCCCACAUGCUGGUCACCGCCCCACCCAGGACCAGGAUGAUGACGAGGGCAUCUGGGCGUAAUCCAUGCUGUGACAACCAAAGCUCUAAUUUGUUUUGAGGGAUGAUUCAGUCACUAGUGGAGGAGCACAGCCAUUCCAUGAUGUUGAAACACUACCCGACCAAACAUUUAUUACCUCCACUCAAUCAACAAACACUCAGAAAUGGGACCUUUGUUUAUUUUCCGGGCGAAGAGGAGGGGGCACACAGGUGCGCAGGUCAUGCGGGGGGACUGACAGCUGAGCAGGUGACCUGGGACCUCUUCUUUGUGUGAACAGCAGUAGAUGUCUUCUACUCCCUCCAUACAGGAUCACAGAUAUGGGAUGGCAUACGAAGGAAAGAGUCAGAUGUUGUUGUGGACGGAGAGACAGAUGUGCUGUGUGUCAAAUUCCUGCCUGGACAGGGAAUGUGAUAAACAUAGCAGCCCUGCAUAAGAGAUCUCACGGAGGUCACCUCACCUGUCUGUCACCUGCAGGAUGCUGCACCUCCUCAGGCCAACAACACCCUCUUGAUCCUCCCUGCAGAGAUCUCAUGACUGUCUGCCAGCCCAGUAUUUGUUCGUCAUCCUUCUUCCUUUGGUUGAUUCAAGAUCAUGGUUGUCCUGCUGACUGUUUCACCUGCCUGACUAAUUCCUUUGGCUCUGGUUGGCUCCCCCACUUGACUAUGUCAUGGUUUCUUGAUCCUCACUGCCCUGCUGACCCACCUGGUGACGUCUGACCCCUCUACCUGGCUUUCAUGACCCUUAGUGUACAGAGUCCCUUCUGUUGCUUUAGUCGUCUGACUGUGUCAAUGAGCUAUUUUACUCUUUGUGGCACAGAGUGACCUCUUUUUUUUGUACCUUUAUACAUGUCCCACCCUGCGUUUCUAAAGAAGCUCAUGUUUAGCAUUUCUAAAAGUGAUGUAGUGUCCCUUCACUUGCUCAUUCCACAAAAUAGUAUAUAUAGUAUGUUCCACACGCACCAGAUUCAAUUGAUUUGAGUUUUAUUUGUUGUCAUCUCUUGUUUGCAAAAGGAAGAGCUUAGAGUUGACUGAUAAUACGCCUUUAGCCUUGCCUGCAGCAUCGGGGGUUUUCUUGGCUGCAUGAGCAGGGCCCUUCUGUUCUUGGGCGUGUUGUAGCCUUAAGGUUGUGGCUGCCAUCAAUGUUUCUCUUCAUGUUACCUCAUUUUAAUCAAAUUUAGUCAAAAAAAAUCAAUCUAUGCAGGUGUCACCGUAGAGUGAAUGCAUUUUUAUUUCCCCAUCCUUACUCAAAUGUAUCACUCAAAGUGUAAUUAACCAUCCAAUCAGAGCGGCCAAGAGAGUGGUCAGAAAAUAUUCAUCAGUCAGAUUAUUUUGAGGUUCUGAGACUAUGCACCUAUGCACCGCCUCCGUGUUGCAGGAAUUUUUACUAAUGGUGCUUCUGCUGGUGCUCAAACUAAAUGGUGUCAGAAGACCGGGUCAAGAGCAUCUUUUAGUCAUUUUACAGUAGAGGGACUUGAUCCCACAAUGGGCUUAAUAAACAACUGUAAAAGUGCUUUGUACAUACGGUUCGACCUUGGGGGCUUUGUGAGCAGCGAUCACUUCCAGACCCACAAAGAGAUGAUUUAUCUGUAUGAAUACUGCUACUAUAAAUACUGCUCACUAUGAAGUGGAGGCAAUGUUCAAUAGAUGUUUUCCCUGCAGGUCUGUUUGUACCAUUGACACCCCAGUCUCUGACCUACAGGAUGCCCCUGUACCCCUCUCCCUUGUAAUUCUCCUCUUCCAGCUGUAGUCUAUGUGACCUCCCCAAACAUAGUGACUUGUUUUCUUCUUCUGAACAAGGUGGCCUGUGCCUCGUAAAAACUGUACACAUAUAUGAUAGAUAUGCAUAUAUUAUAUAUAUAGAGAGAAAUCUAUAGAGUGUGUCUAUACGUGGUCAGAAAAUUGUUUCAAACUGACAAGAUAAUAUAUGUUUUUUUCUUCAUGGUUAUUUUUCUAACUGGCUGGAGGUCAGAGAGAGAUGUCUUAUUUAGAGUGUUGAGGGCUGUGAUUUUCCUCUGAUUUGUACAUUGUGAAAAAAAACCCUCAGCAGCAAGUAACAUUCCCUGUCUGAAAACACAGGACAGCCUGAAAAAAGAGCUUUAGAGCAGUUUAUGGGAAAUAGAGUUGUGUAUCCAAAAUCUAUCUAGAAGUCUAGAAAAGAUGACAUUAUUACAUUCCUUUCUUAAUGUGAAAACAUUUAGUUGAAGACCACUUGGCUUGUGGUGACAACUUCGAACAAAAAAAAAAUAAAUAAGAAGACUUGUCUUGAAUCUUGCAGCUCACAUAGGUAGCAAUGAGAUUAUGUCUGCACUCAGCAGACAGAAACAUGCACUUGUGAGUGAGGACUAUCACUAUGAACAUCCAAGUGGCGGUUUGAGUGACUCUGUCGGGAUGCAUUUCUUUCGCUUGUUUGUCGUCGUUGUUGUCUUGUAAACAGAAGUGGUGACAUACGUGACCGUGACAGCUGAUUAAGUAGAAAAACCACACAUAUUGUCACAGUACAGUGGAAAAUUGAAUUAGACUGUUACUACCCUCCCACUUCCUCUCCCUCCCCUCAUGGUGCCUGUGUGUCUCCCUUAUAUGGCCAAAGUGUUGAUUGUUGUAUAUAAGCAUUUUUCCAUCUUUCACAAACCGAGGUGAUCCCUGCAUCAUCUUUCAUGUGUCCGCUUCACACAUGAACCUUUACAGCUCCUGUCACUGACCAAGAAUCAACAGAUUGUGUGAAAUGUUGGUGUUUGUGUUUACAAAUUGUUACGAGAAAGGUCCUGAUUUGGAUUUUCUUUUAAAAAAGGGAAGACAAUGCAAACAGACAGAGGAGCAAAAAUCCUCUCACUUCACCAUCAGGGGGGCGGAGUACGAAUCCUCCAUUUUCAGGUCCUUAUCUACUGAAUACUUGAAGUAGGGGGUUCUCCUACCAUGAAAUACCAUAUAUGAUUUACAUGGUAGAAAACAUGAAACAUGCCCAUGCAUGCUGACUUUUACAUGAUGUGCCAACUGAAAGUGAUGUUGUAAGGAUAAUCUCCUGUUCUCUAUGCAGAACGAUUUCUCAACCGUUGUGUCAAAAAGGUUUUGGAGACACAGAGGCUUAAAUGCUGGGGCUGGUUUCCUGGGCUUAGACUUAAGACUAAUCCUGGUUCUGAAUGACUGACAUUGCGCUCAGUGUGAGGUGGAGUCAAGAAGUCAAGUCUGCAUCUGUGCCUAGAAGCAGCCGUGUAGAAAGACUUGAGUUGGAAGGCCUGUAGAUUGACCAGUAAUAUUCAAAGGCCUUCAAGAAAAAGAAUGAAAAGCCUAACAUACAUUUUCACUUUAUUAUUAUUAUUGUAUACAGGUUAUUUUUCUUUUGUCGGGUUGCUGAAAACUUUGGAUUAAACAAAUCACUGUGACCAAUGCCAGAAACAUUUUUGUUUGACAGAACAAAUAUUGUGUUUACUUUUUUAUUAAUCAUUUUUUUUUAUUUAAGUUAGCUUUAUUUUUUCUAUUGUUUCACCUUAUUGAAUAUGCCAGUUUGAGACUGUACUAUUUGUAUAAGUAAAUGUUUUGAGCUGUACAGUAAAAACCUAGGAACAAGUUAAAUGUGAGUGUCCAGCAUGCUGAAUGAUUUCUUGUGUGAACGUGAGCUAAUGUCCCAUGAAGCAUCAUUCCUCACUCAUUAAUUGCAUCUGCAUUGUGACGGUGUGAUGUUGUGUUUGAGAGUGAUGUGUGUCUCACUUACUGUGUCCCAUUAGUAGACAGCCUGUGCAGUUUUGUGAGAGUGCAGCAUGUUUUUGGGGUUGCUUGUGUAAAUGUAUUCAGAAAAGAGAGAGUGUGUGUGUGUGUGUGUGUGCCCGCGUGUGUGUGUGCGCGUGUGUGUGUGCGCGCGCACGUGUGUGCA